GCCCUGAAAAAGCCCCUCAGAAGCCUCAAAAAUUUUGAAAACGGGAUCCUCUUCAGCAUCCACCAGAUCCUAGAGUCCUGGAUCUUCGCCGCGUGAGAGCUGCUGCAGUGGAUUGGGGAUCGGGUGGAAGAAAAGGAAUAUGAGAAGGCUGCAAGCGAUUGUUGGUUGCUCGAGCGAAUCUGGAGGCUUCUAACAGAGAUCGAAGAUCUACACCUCCUGAUGGAUCCAGACGAUUUCCUCCGCCUCAAAAACCAGCUCUCGAUCAAAGCGACGAACGAAUCCGAAGCCUUCUGCUUCAGAUCAAUGGCUCUGAUCGAACUGACGCAGUCAUCGAAGGAUCUGAAGCGGAGAUUGCCAGAUAUCUUGGGCGUGGAGGUGGACCCGAAGGGUGGGCCCCGGAUCCAAGAAGCAGCAAUGGCAAUUUUCCAUAGGAAGGGCGAUGUAGCAAAGAUCCAUCUGUUGCAGGCGUUCCAGGCGAUUGAAAGGGCGGUGAAGAGGUUCUAUUUCGCAUAUCGGCAACUGAUUGGGGCAACGAUUCUCAGGUAUGAUUGCUGAUGCAAUCACCCAAGAUCAACAAAGUUUCAAAGAAUUAAUUUAUGCACUAUUCGUUACAGCUGAGACAAUAGUACGAUGCAUGAAUCCUAAAGAAGCAGUGGAAGUUGAUAUUGGGAUUUUUUUUCUACAAAGCCAAGAGAAGCAAUCCAACCUAGGUUUUUUCCUUCACAUUAUUCUUUUCUGGAGACAAAAUAAGGAAGUUGUAUAUAUUUUUCUAGUCCCUCCUAAACUGUCAGGAACAUCUUUGCCAUAAAACUCUAGUAGUUUUCUAUUUGUUUCCUCAAAUCAUACCCAUUUUUUCAGAUCCUCUUUGUCGAAAGGUAUUAGGAGAACCAUUUUCCAAGAAAACAUUAUCACAAUUCACAGCAAUUUCAUUAUGUUCAAAGGUUCACAUCUUGCUAAUCAUUUAAAUUUGUACCCUUUUUAUACUAUAAAAUCCUCACAAUUAGUUUUAAGUUGGGAGCGUGAUCUACUCUGUUGAUGGGUUAAUCUUAGAUACUACAAAUCACUAAGCCAUAAACCAAGAAUUAUGUAAUACUUCAUCCCAUACUGAACAAAUUAUGUUUCCACUACAUUGAUUUUUAUUUUUUUAUUUUUUUUUCCUCAAUGUGAAUGUAGUGGGUUGGUGUGUUUCAAAAAAACAAAAGAAGCAUUUGAUCAUUUCCAAGUGGUCAGCACAAUAGGGAUUGAAUUUCCAUCAUUAAAUUUUUUUGAGGGCCACAAAAGUUUUGGAUCAAGCUGCUAUUUGUGUUUUCUAUAUGAAAAUGCCAUUUUGUAAAUGGGAGAUGGAUGUGCAGAUGGUAGCAUGGGAGUCCAUUUCCUUUAUGUGGUUUCUCUUCUCACUUCCUAUUUGGAUUUUGUUUUCAAAUUAUAGGAUGAGGGUUUUACUGUGCUGCCAUUCUUUUGACAUGGUGCCAUGUUGUCACAGGAAGUUCAUUCUCAUGGGUGCCAAGUUGUCACAGGAAAUUCAUCCUCAUGGGCCUAAGUCAUGGACUUGACUAAAUUUACGGUAAUCUUGUACAUUACAGAGAUUUUGCAAAGUACUAAUGAUGUACAUGUUACUUAUGUAAGGCAUUAUAUUGAAUGGACAGUCAAAUUUUGGUGUAAAUAUUUUUAUAAGACAAAUAUUGACUCGGCUGAGUUUUCAUGGCCCGGUGGAUUGGCCAAGUCAAUGCAAAACUUGGCCAAUUUUUGUAUAGGAUUGAUGCAUAGU